GGAUAUAGAGUACGCACAACGUGCUCUGCCUGGCUGCCUUGUCUGUCGUUUGCCGAUGCCUGACCACCAUACCAUGCCCGCGCGUGCGCCUUGACUCGAGCGCCGUGGAGCCUUCCAAUUCUACUGGCCACGAAUGCACAUAGUCCGAUCCCAAUUACAUCAGUUAGGAUUAGCACAUGUCAUGCACACACCAACCCAACAAUGUUCAGAACUUGCUCGAUCAUCUAGCUUUUAUUCCUCGAUCGCUAGCUAAAAGUUCACAAGUUGCUGGGAACGGAAUUGUAUUCUAGUAGCUUCGAGCAUUGCUGACCCCCGAGAAGUCAGUCAGAGCUUAAUCAUAGAUCAUCAGCUAGCAAUUAGUAAUAUGCUCCUACGGGAGAUUGAACAGCGUUUUUUUUGGUAGCACCUGUCACUCUUACACACAAUAUACUCCAAUAAUUAACACUUGGGUGUUGCUUCAGAAACCAUCAACAUUUUUAAAAUCCGGUGUCCUACCGACCAAUGUUACCGGCGACGGCGACGCCCAGCUGAUGGAUCGAUCGGAAUCGCGGCCGCAUGCUAGCUACAGUAGCUACCAGCUCGAUCGAUCAGCUGUAAUAUAUUCUGAAUUAAUAAUUAUCAUAUGAACAACUCGCAAGCUUCUGCAUCUGCAUGCGUCUAGUUAAACAUUUUAAGCUGAACCCUGGUCUAUUGUUCGUGGACACACGCAUCCUACCUCUCUCGACCAAGCACGCCUCUUCGCCCAUCAUCUCAAUUUAAUUAGCGCUACAAUACAUUACUAUAGUACACAGGAUCUCGCAUGUAUAUGAUUAGUUGGAUCAGGUCAUUUUGGUCAAACGAUAAGGACGAGUGUGCUGGUCGAUGUCCAUCAUCAGCAGAUAAUCACAUUAGUAUGAGCGUACGACGGUCUAUAAUAUCAUAUAGUAAAUUAUGUCAUGCUUGCUAAGAUUGAUGUGAAUGAAAAAUGUCAUAUACUGAUGUAGGUAAGUUGGACUUUCCAGCGAGAUCCUGAUGGAGAAGGAAGCUAAAAUAGGCACCGUCUGAUUAGGACGAUAACGACCAGAGGGCAACUCGUCAUGCAUCUUGGUUGAAUCUCUGGGUUGAAUGGCCUCAUGGGCAAUUGGGCUUUAUUUGUUGUGGGUAAUUAGCCCAGGUUUUUGUGGCCUGCAUGAGGAAGUGAUGGGGCCCAUAGCAAUGGGCCUCCUGGAAAUGAAACGUAUUGGGCUUAAUUAGAAGAUUUGCUUCAUUUUGUUCAUUUUGUCUCUCAGGUGUUCAUUUUGUUCGCCGAGAGACAGCUUCUGGAUCGAAUAGCCUUAUCAUUUUUGCUUAUGCUUAUAUUUGUAAGCUAAAAUUUAAAUUUAAAUUUUUAAUUUGAUAUGAUUUUAUGAUUUUUCAUCGUAUUUUUAUUUUAUGGCGUUUGCUUUUAAAUUGCUAUAGACACAUGUAUAAAUUUUUACUUAUAAUAUAUACUAUUUGGUUGUUAAUAAACUAUGCGGAUAAGCAUAACCAAAAAGACAAUGCACUAUUCCGCACAACCGCAUCAAGUACUUGCUAGGCCUUGCAUGAUUGAGUUGGUCGCAGCUGCAGCGCAACACAAAUGCAACAGCGAUAACCAUCAGCAAAAACUCUCUUGUGUUUGCAGUUGUGACCAAGUAAGCUGAGCAUGCCCUUAACUUCACCUAGAAAAAAGUAUACUUGGCUUAACUGCUAGUAAGACAUUUCAGAACUGAGACUGGUGUACGCAUUUCAUGCAAGCCAUUACCACUUUACCUGACAUUUUGGACAGAGAUUAGAAAUAGUUUCGUACUACCUGCAAGUUGCAACUUGAAAAGUGAAAUUUGUUCCUUGCUAAUAUAUUGACGUGUAAUUCUUUUAUGCGUUAGCGUAAAAAGUUGAAAUUUGGGUCAAGUUACUGGUCAGAUUAACCAGUAACUGGUUAAAGUUGAAAGAUGGUCUUUUAGUAAUGGAGGGAGUACUACACUAUCCUCAGCUGAUUUAAAUCUUAUUCCGUCGGUGGUGAUUUCGUCAAUCUCCCAACUUAGUUUUUCAAUAUAUUUAUAGGAUAGAGUGUGCAUAUGUGUGUUUAUAGGGAUGAGUCUACGCGCCUUAUGAACACCUACUUUUGUACUGUAUUUGUCAAUGAAAAGAAAAUCUUACCAAUGCUGCGAUGCUGACACCAAGAAGAGGCGAUGAAAAGUGCAACGGAUAUCGUGCCACGUCGGUUGCCAAGUCAGCACAGACCCAAUGGGCCUUUCCUACGUGUCUCGGCCACAGCCAGUCGUUUACCGCACGUUCACAUGGGCACGAACUCGCGUCAUCUUCCCACGCAAAACGACAGAUCUGCCCUAUCUGGUCCCACCCAUCAGUGGCCCACACCUCCCAUGCUGCAUUAUUUGCGACUCCCAUCCCGUCCUCCACGCCCAAACACCGCACACGGGUCGCGAUAGCCACGACCCAAUCACACAACGCCACGUCACCAUAUGUUACGGGCAGCCAUGCGCAGAAGAUCCCGCGACGUCGCUGUCCCCCGUGUCGGUUACGAAAAAAUAUCCCACCACGUGUCGCUUUCACAGGACAAUAUCUCGAAGGAAAAAAAUCGUAGCGGAAAAUCCGAGGCACGAGCUGCGAUUGGCUGGGAGGCGUCCAGCGUGGUGGGGGGCCCACCCCCUUAUCCUUAGCCCGUGGCGCUCCUCGCUCCUCGGGUCCGUGUAUAAAUACCCUCCGGAACUCACUCUUGCUGGUCACCAACACGAAGCAAAAGGACACCAGAAACAUAGUACACUUGAGCUCACUCCAAACUCAAACACUCACACCAAUGGCUCUCCAAGUUCAGGCCGCACUCCUGCCCUCUGCUCUCUCUGUCCCCAAGAAGGUAACAAUGCGCACCCAAAAAUCAUCUGCAUUGUUGAAUUCUGUCAAAAAUGGAUUUAUUUGUGUGAAGUUUGUGCAUUUUGAACAAGUUUUUGAUUGGAUUAUGUGUGACGACUGAUCAGGGUAACUUGAGCGCGGUGGUGAAGGAGCCGGGGUUCCUUAGCGUGAGCCAGAAGGCCAAGAAGCCGUCGCUGGUGGUGAGGGCGGUGGCGACGCCGGCGGCGCCGGUGGCGAGCCCCGGCGCGGGCACGUCGAAGGCGGACGGGAAGAAGACGCUGCGGCAGGGGGUGGUGGUGAUCACCGGCGCGUCGUCGGGGCUCGGGCUCGCGGCGGCGAAGGCGCUGGCGGAGACGGGGAAGUGGCACGUGGUGAUGGCGUGCCGCGACUUCCUGAAGGCGGCGACGGCGGCGAAGGCGGCGGGGAUGGCGGCGGGGAGCUACACCGUCAUGCACCUGGACCUCGCCUCCCUCGACAGCGUCCGCCAGUUCGUGGACAACUUCCGGCGCUCCGGCAUGCCGCUCGACGCGCUGGUGUGCAACGCCGCCAUCUACCGGCCGACGGCGCGGCAGCCGACGUUCACCGCCGACGGGUACGAGAUGAGCGUCGGGGUGAACCACCUGGGCCACUUCCUCCUCGCCCGCCUCAUGCUCGACGACCUCAAGAAAUCCGACUACCCGUCGCGGCGGCUCAUCAUCCUCGGCUCCAUCACCGGCAACACCAACACCCUCGCCGGCAACGUCCCUCCCAAGGCCGGGCUAGGCGACCUCCGGGGGCUCGCCGGCGGGCUCCGCGGGCAGAACGGGUCGGCGAUGAUCGACGGCGCGGAGAGCUUCGACGGCGCCAAGGCGUACAAGGACAGCAAGAUCUGUAACAUGCUGACGAUGCAGGAGUUCCACCGGAGAUUCCACGAGGAGACCGGGAUCACGUUCGCGUCGCUGUACCCGGGGUGCAUCGCGACGACGGGCUUGUUCCGCGAGCACAUCCCGCUGUUCCGGCUGCUGUUCCCGCCGUUCCAGCGGUUCGUGACGAAGGGGUUCGUGUCGGAGGCGGAGUCCGGGAAGCGGCUGGCGCAGGUGGUGGGCGACCCGAGCCUGACCAAGUCCGGCGUGUACUGGAGCUGGAACAAGGACUCGGCGUCGUUCGAGAACCAGCUCUCGCAGGAGGCCAGCGACCCGGAGAAGGCCAGGAAGCUCUGGGACCUCAGCGAGAAGCUCGUCGGCCUCGUCUGAGUUUAUUAUUUACCCAUUCGUUUCAACUGUUAAUUUCUUCGGGGUUUAGGGGGUUUCAGCUUUCAGUGAGAGAGGCCUGUCAAGUGAUGUACAAUUAGUAAUUUUUUUUUACCCGACAAAUCAUGCAAUAAAACCACAGGCUUACAUUAUCGAUUUGUCCACCUAAAUUAAGUAAUUAACCACUUGUUUAGGGGAGCCAAAAUAAACCUUACCAAAUUUUGGCAAUUUGAUAAUAUUGUCAAGUUUUGACAUGAUUUAUUUUAUAUUUACCAAAGUUUGGUUAAAAAACUAAAUGAAUGCGUAUCUUUGUUAACUUUACUUAAGAAAAUAGUAUGGUUUGAAAUGACAUUAAUACGAUCCUUAAUUAAUCCAUACGAAAAUUAGAAACAGGAUGGUGGGCUCCAGGCCGGAUGCAAGGCCCAGUACCCAAUCCAACCGGCCCGUUUCUUCAUUUAAAUGGGCCGACCAGCACUGGCCCAUUAAGCCACUUCUCACGCCAUGAGCGCUGUCACACCGUAUUCGUCGCCGGAAGUCGUCGACGUCGAGGGGACGAGGAGCCCACCGGCGAGCGGUGGCGCCACGGGGGAGGAAGGCGGCGAGCUGGGCGUCGGCGAGAACUCGAGGAGACCGACGAGAGGCCAGUCCACCACCGCGCAGCCACACAGGCACGGGGAAGAGUGGCGCGCGCGGCCGCCGGAGAAGGCUAUGGCGUGGAUCUGGAUGCUCAUGGCGGCGGGGGCCGUGCUCCUGUGGGCGGUUUCUCUGGGGCGGGUGCUCUCCUCCUCCUCGCCGGCGUGUCUGCCUGCCAACUCCACCUUCCUCUCCCCUCCUCGCGGCGACAGGAUGAGCCGGAAUGUCCUCCUCGUUCUCGCCCACCCCGACGACGAAUCCAUGUACUGCUUCUUCCUCCUCAUGUCUCUUAUCGUUUGCGAGCCUCGCUGUGUAAAUCGUGGGGCUACAGUUCCAGUAACCGCUAACAAUGAAGCUUAAUAGGCUAACUCCUGUGCACGGUACCUGCUCGAUGAAAUUCCUGAACAAGUGAACAGUUUUUUUUUUUUUGAGCUAAGGGAGCAUUCUCCCUCCAUUUCCAUUUAACAGAAAUGAAACAAAGUUCUUACAAAAGCAGGAUGAUUACAGAAAUGAAACUAAGUGAACAGCUGAACUUUUUAUUAUUUUGUGGAACUGUUUAGGGGAAAUCUUGUUUAUAGUAUUUGUUUUGGUUGAUUCUGAUUGAUUGUCAUGUUGCUGAUACAGGUUUUUUGCUCCGACUAUUCUUUUCCUCAAGUCAAAAGGUCACAGCAUUCAUAUCUUGUGCUUGUCUCAAGGUAAAAGACGUCUACACUCUGAUCCUAUGUGCGUAUUUCGCUUUUCCAGUAUGUCUCAGCUCAAUCAUAUGUAUUUCUACUCUUUAAGGGCGCCAUUAUUUGGAUAAGAAACCUCAUCUGAGUCGGUCGUUCUGAUUGUCAAUUUAAUCCCCAUAUUAGGCAAUGCUGAUGGCCUUGGAAAUAUCCGCAAAGAGGAACUCUACCUUGCCUGUGUCACUCUUAAGGUAAUAAGUCCUACUCUGCUCCAUUAUACCCCUUGGAGAGGGUCUUUUGACCUCGGUUGUCCAUUGAAAAAUGUGUUGAAAUGGAUCAUGUAUUUACAGAUUCCAGCUGAGCAAGUUAAAGUCUUGGACCACUCAGAACUGCAGGUGCUUUAUUAUGAGCUCAUUUUUGCCGACCUGCUUGUAUGUAGGUACUGUUCCAAAUAUAUACUUAAGUUUACACAAUGUACCUUGUAGGAUGGAUUUCAUAAAAAUUGGGAUCAUGGACUAAUAGCAGAACUUACCCUGGCACAAUCCCAGUUAUGGAAUAUCGACACGGUAAUGAUUCCAUGUCAAGAUUCAGAUGAUCUCCCAGUAAUAAUAAUUCAUAUCUAUACUCUAUCAACUUUGGUGCUUUCCUGUAUUAUGUUUCGCUUCGAGCUUUACUGUUCUGAACAACUUUAAAAAUAAAAAAUAUAGUGAAGAAACAGGAGCAUCAAGUGCGCCUAUCUGUAUUAUAUGCCAUUUAAAACUGUAUUAGUUAAUCUGUUCCAAAUCUCAGUGCGGUGUUGCUGCAAACAGGUACCCAGGUUGAGUACAUCAUAUGAUUGUGCAAGUGAAAUGCCUUUUUCGUCCUGAUUUUCUAGACCUCAAAAUAUGGAAAUUUUGCAUUUUGUUCAUUCCGAUUCCCCUAUUUACUCCUGCAAUAUUUGUUGUCAUUUUAGAUUGUUGCCUUCGAUUCCCGAGGAGUAUCAGGCCAUCCAAAUCAUUGCGAUGUUCAUCAUGGAAUCUGGUUAGUUCAACUUUGUUGUUUAGCAUUUUUAGAAUAACAACUGUUUGAGUUUGAUGCCCUCUUGUAAGAAAAAUUUUCUGGUACUGAUGUAUUUUAUAUUGUUAGCUUGUCCGCACAAGCUUCUAUAAUAUCUACAUAGUUGUUAAGUUACAUAUCUUGUCAAGUCACAACAUGUUCUGCCGAAAGAAAGUGUAUUACCUAACUUCAACAUAACUGUGGCCUCCCCUUUCCCAUCACCACACCCCUUUGUAAGGGUUCUCUCUUUCUCUCCCAUGAUCUCAUCCCUUUCAUGCAUAUAUAAUAUAAGUUGUUUUGGGGUCACACUUUAAUUGAACAGUUUGGCUAAUUCAUGUAUGUCAUGACUAUGGCCUGUAGCUCUUGGUUGGUGAUGUGCACUUAUUCCAUCUAUUUAAUGCCGGAUUUGCUUACAUUUCUUUCACUUAUGACAGUCUAGAUUACACAUAUGUAGCAUAUUUCUGCAGGGUGUUUCUAGCAUUUUUCUUUGGAGUCUUAAUAAAUCUAUUUUUCUAUGAACAGCAAGCUUCUGCGUGACAACGGGCAAGGACACAUUGAAGCAUGGGAGCUUGUAAAAUUCUUCCCUGAUAUCCUAGCUUUAUUUUCUUCACGUUGCCAUAUACUCUACUUAUUCCAGAGUCUAAAAGAGCCUGUGCAUUGCUUUCUUGAAUUUAUGAAUUGCGUGCUUAAAUGCAUUGAUAUCAUCAUUUUCGUUGGAAGUAAAGACAGAAAACAAUAACACUACACAUGCCUUCUCUGCAUAGAUUUGAAUUGCUUGAUGUGUCUAUCUCAUUUGAUGGCUAAUUUCUAUGAUUUUUAUUGGCACUAGGCUAGUUAACCUCUAAACAAUUCCCUGUGAAUACAUUAAUUUGAAGAAGCUAACCUGGAUUAUGCCUGUUUAUUUGGAUAGGUAAGCUUGAACAUUUUUCGCAAGUACAGUGGUCCAGUUGACAUUUGGCUAUCUUCCACCCUCUCCUCAAGCUCAAAACAACCAACUUAUACUCUUGUUAAUAAUAGCCCUUCCAGAAGCUUUGAGGCAAUGGCUUCACACAAAAGCCAGUGGGUUUGGUAAGUUGAAAAUUUUGUUUUCACUACUUAAAUGUUGUCUACUUCUAGGAAGUACUAUAUAUAUUGUGUGGUUCAAAAUUAUCACUUAAAAAGAAGUUUCUACCUUGCAAUAUAGACGUAGUACCUCAUAAGAAUCAUCCCUUUGACACCCAAAAAAAGUCAUGGCCAACAUAUACAAUCUCAAUUGUUUCUUUGACUACUGUAAGACUGGUUGUUUGUAUUUUUGAGAACUCAUUGUUAGACUUGUUUUUUGUGUGAUACUGCAUGAUGGGAAAGAAAUGAAGCAUUUAAGGGGCUCAAAAUUCUCAAAACUUGUGUGUUUUACAAUAUAUUCAGGAAACUGACAUUUUGCUUGUGUUUAUAGGUUCAGGAGAUUGUUUGUCCUAUUCUCAAGCUACACAUACAUAAAUGUGCUCCAAAAAAUUUGAAGUUUGUUGUCGUGCCAAAGCAAGCACCUUCCGGCUCAGAUUGUCAAAUGCCUGUACAUGCAGAGUGCCAGAGUGUAAGCGGGAAGCUUCUCUGAAGAAAGACAACAAUGUUGACAUUGGAUCAGGAAUUCGAAAGAUACUGAAAUGUGAUGAUGAAAUGCAACAGUUUAGGAACCUUUGUGAUUAUAUGCCCUUUAUACUUGUGUUGUAGGCCAUCGAUUGUGUUCAUAGAGUUAGAUUGGACCUCUGUAUCCUCAGCUAGUUUCUCUUGCUUGAAGAGUUAUUGCCGUUGUUGGACGAUCAAUCUAUAUUGCAGUGUUACACAAGGUAACUGAUGAACUGAUAUUACUAUGCUGUCGCUCAAGCUGUAUUCAAGCCAGACAAUUUUGUCUUCUUUUUGAGCUUUAUGGACUUGAUUGCUAACUACUACAAUUGUAGAUUGAGAAUUUGAGUUUUGAUCAAGAAGAGCGGUACCAUUUUACUCCUGAAAGAUAUAAGCUACUCCUCCGUAGCAUUUUUUUUCCUGUGAAACUAAUGCCUUUGCAAACGAGACCUACCUUUUUGUGCCGGCAGGAGUACACAAUCUCGGGCCCUGUGAUUUAGAUGACUGAUUGGAUUUUUGUCACAGAUUAUCUACUUACUUAAUUAUAGAGAUAAAUUAAGACUUCUAUAACAAGUGGUCUAAGCAAUGCAUAGAAGAUUUUUUUUUUUGAAGUGUGAAGUAAAUAAUCUGUUUCAAUAAUCCGGUGAGUAAUACGUAAUAUCAAAAGAACAGAGGCCGGCGUGCAAGGUUGUUCAGAACCAUCUGUUCAUCCAUGAAGUGCAAGUACUGCCCAGCCCAAUGCCCCAAGAGCCCACAGUACCCUUGUCAGAAAUCACGAGUAGUACAAGGGCUUGAACACAAAAUGACCCAUUUGAAAAUUCGACCUCCUCCGCUUUGGCGUUGAACAGCAAAUCGCGUGUCAAAACUCAAAAGCGGACAGAAUUAGAAACUUAUAAAAUCUCUCUCGCUGCCUCCACUUCUUCUUCCUCCUCCUCCUCCUCAGAUCCAGCAAUCCGCGAUACCACCAUUAGUACCAUUCGAAGCGCCGCCCUCUACUCGCCGGAGAGGAGGAAGACGGAGCAAAGGGAGCGCAUCAGAUAAGCAGAAGGCAUGGGGCUCCCCGGCGCCGAGCCGCCGGCGGCCAGCGGCGGCGGCCUCCCUGGAUUCUUCGGCGGCAAGAGCAAGUACGUCCGCAUGGACGACGUGCUGCCGCAGGAGCAGGAGGAGGACGGCGUCGGCGGCGGAGGCGGAGGCGUCCGCGUCCGCCGGAGCCACAGCAGCAGGCGCUACGUCUUCGCCUGCUCUGUCUUCGCCUCCCUCAACUCCGUCCUCCUCGGCUACGGUAACUAAUCUCCUCCGUUUCCACAUGAAUCUCUCUCGCACGUAUAUGUGUUCGUGUUGGCUGAAUCGAUGGAGAAUUUCGAUACGCGUGCUUGGAUCUUGGCAAGUUCUUGGUGAUCCUGCACAAGGAGUAGGAAAUGUUUUGGCCAAUCGCGUUGACUAUUUCUUCUUCAUUAGUCUUCGGUCUUUGAUGGCGACUCUCCAGCUUAUUCCAUGUCUGUUACCUUGUGGCGUUUAGUAGGAGUUGUUGAGUAGUCUAAACUACGGUUACUAGUUAACUGGUUAGUAAUUAGCAAUGCAGUUUCUUCAUAAUCAAGAAUCAGUAGUAACUAGUAUCACAAUGUUUUGUUCAGAUGGAUUUCUAUUCACUACUGAUAUCGAAUAGUCCACUUAUUUGGAAUCAUCGCGAUGCUAAUUUCAGUCAACGGCAGCUAGCUCGUAGUAGCUUUUUUUUUUUCGACAGCAUUUUAGCAACACACUAAAAAUUUGACUAGAACUAACUUUUUCUUUUAAGAUAAUGGAAUUGAUUUCAUUAAGAUGAAAUUGCACCCGGGCAAAAAUUAAGUUUAAGAUAAUUACACACAAAAUGCAUAUAUAAUUCAAUUUCUGUGUGGUAAUAAACCUUUUGUUCCCAGAUGUUGGUGUGAUGAGCGGCUGCAUUCUCUUCAUCCAGAGAGACCUCCACAUCAAUGAAGUGCAGCAAGAAGUGCUCGUCGGGUGCCUCAGCUUCAUCUCCCUCCUCGGCAGCCUCGCCGGCGGAAGGACGUCGGACGCCGUCGGCCGGAAAUGGACGAUCGGCCUCGCCGCCAUCGUGUUCCAGGCCGGCGCGGCCGUCAUGACGCUCGCCCCGUCGUUCGAGGUGCUCAUGGUCGGGAGGCUGCUGGCCGGCGUCGGCAUCGGGUUCGGCGUCAUGAUCGCGCCGGUGUACAUCGCCGAGAUCUCCCCGGCGGCGUCGCGGGGCUCCUUCACCUCCUUCCCGGAGAUCUUCAUCAACCUCGGCAUCCUCCUCGGGUACAUCUCCAACUACGCCUUCUCCGGCCUCCCGGACCACGUCAGCUGGCGCGUCAUGCUCGCCGUCGGCAUCCUCCCGUCGGUGUCCAUCGCCUUUGCACUGCUGGUGAUCCCAGAGUCGCCGCGGUGGCUGGUCAUGAAGAACAGGGCCGACGAGGCGCGCGAGGUGCUUCUCAAGGUCACCGACAGCGAGGACGAGGCGAAGGAGAGGCUUGCCGAGAUCGAGGCCGCCGCCGCCGUCGCGAGCGCCGGCAAGUACGGCGACAAGACGGUGUGGCAGGAGCUGACGAGGCCGUCUCCGGUGAUCCGGCGGAUGCUCAUCACCGGGCUAGGCAUCCAGUGCUUCCAGCAGAUCACCGGCAUCGACGCGCUCGUCUACUACAGCCCGACGAUAUUCCGGGACGCCGGGAUCACCACCGAGAGCCAGCUCCUCGUCGCCACCGUCGCCGUCGGGUUCUUCAAGACGGCGUUCAUCGCGCUUGCCAUCGUGCUCAUCGACCGCGUCGGGAGGAAGCCGCUGCUGUACGUCAGCACGGUCGGCAUGACGGCCUGCCUCGUCGUGCUCGCGGCGACGCUCGCCGCGCUCGCGCACGGGUCGGCGUCCAGGAGCGCUGGCAUCGCCGUCGCCAUCCUGACCGUGUGCGGCGACGUCGCGUUCUUCUCCGUCGGGAUAGGGCCCAUCUGCUGGGUGAUGAGCUCGGAGAUCUUCCCGCUCCGGCUGCGGUCUCAGGCGGCGGCGCUCGGCGCGGUGAUGAACAGGGUGACCAGCGGCGCCGUGGCCAUGUCCUUCCUGUCCGUCUGCCGCGCCAUCUCGGUUGCCGGCGCCUUCUCCGUCUUCGCCGUCAUAUCCGCCCUGUCCGUCGUGUUCGUCUACCGGUACGUGCCGGAGACGAGCGGCAAGACGCUGGAAGAGAUCGAGCUGCUCUUCGGCGGCGGCGGCGGCGACGGCGAGGCGGCGCGGGGAGAGGUGGAGCUCGGUGACGGCGAGCACCUGGUGCACAAGGGAUGAGGAUCUUGAGUUAUUGACCAAAUGGAUCAAUGUGAACUUGGCCAUUUUUUUAGGUGGGUUUUAACAGUAUUACUAGAUACUGGUGUUGCGGUGAAUGCAAAUUGCAAACCAAAUUGUUUUGUUUUAGAGCACUAAUAGGAAAGAAAAUAUCUCAUACUCUUUUCCAACUUCAGAAUCCUCUGUAGCAUCAACGAAUCAUACAGUGUAAAUGUUGGUGCCACUGUGCCAGUCAAUCAGUCACAGUUGGUAAUGCUAGUAAGCUACACUUGCACAUCCAUGAAACCAUUACAGUGAAUGUAAAUAGAUUCUGAACUGAAUUAUUCAAAUUCAUUGAAAAAGAGCGAAUUUCCAGUGAGUUAUAUGAUAUUUUAGCAAAUAGAAGAAAUUUUAUGCCAAAUGGAAGUUUGACAUCUAACCACAUGGUAUAAGAGCAAUUAUCUCGAGUGAAUAUUCAGAACAAGGUGAUACCUCAAGUUUAAUACUCUGCAAUUCAGCAAUUGUGCAAGUUCAUGCCAAAAUGACUGACCACAGCUCCAAAAUUUCACUCUAAGCCUUACUACUGAAUACACAAUAACACAACCAUGAAAAUGUGGGCAGAUUCCUGAUACAAAUUUUGACAAUUUGACUUUUUGCAAAAACUAUUUUUACAAAUGAACCGCUGCCAAAACUUAUUUCAAAUCUGACCCUUUUGCUCAAUGCCAAAUCAUGUGGCGCUGAACUUAGACAUCUCAGCGCCACGUUAGCUGGCGCUGAAUGCGGUGCCACGACGGAUGGGAGACUAAGUCAGCGUGCCAACGUACAUUCAGCGUCAUGCUAUUUGGCGCUGAGGUGUCUAAAUUCAACGCUACACAAUUUGGCGUUGAGCAAAAGAGUCAGAUUUGAAAUAAGUUUUGGCAACGAUUCAUUUGUAAAAAUAGUUUUUGCAAAGAGUCAAAUUGUCAAAAUUUGUGGAUUCCUGACUCCAACUCUUUUAAGCUGAACAGGUAGUCAUCAGGUUACCAAACAUAUAAAAACGCCUCAUUAGUCUUAAACAAAUGGUUCCCUCCUUGUUUCUUCCUCCUCCUACAGUCUCCUCCUUCCUCCAGAUCCAAUUGCUAGUCCUUUUCCCAUUCACAAGCCACAUUCUUGGAGCUUGCAAGAGGAGAGAAGAGGAUGAGCCAACCAUAGCCAGAGCACAGCACAAGAAAGACGGUGAGAAUGGGGCUUCGUGCCACCGAGGCGGCGACGGGCAACGGCGGCGGCAUGAGGAGCCUUCCGGAUUUCUUGGGGAGGAAGAGCAAGUACGUGCGCAUGGACGACGUGCUCCCGGAUGAGCAGGGAGAUGGCGGCGGCGGCGGCGGCGUCGUUCGUGUCCGCGGCGGCGGCGGCAGCGGGAGAUACGUCUUUGCCUGCUCUGUCUUCGCCUCCCUCAACCAUGUCCUGCUCGGCUACGGUGAGCCCCUCUCCUGAAUUUGACUGUUCUUGAUUCAGAUUUGGUUGUAUUACACAUAAUCAGGGGUUUAUUUUCUGAUUAAAGCAAGAUUUGCAGCUAGUAAAAUAUGGGGAUUGUAUGUCAUGUUAAUAUGCUUUUAGAAGAUGAAGUGUUUGAAAAGUUAUCAUCACUGACAGCCCACUCUGCUUCAGAUUCAGAUGAAAUGUAAAUUUUGACCGGUAAUUUGGUUCAGAUACUUGUUAUGGUUGUUAAUCUUUAUCUGAGUCUCUCUCUCAGACAGCCAUUGACAUUGUUUGUCUCGUGAACAAUCGAUCAAACUUUCAAAUGGAUGAAAUAUCUUUGCACAAAUUGUCAAAUCCUGUGUUACAUCGUGGCUGUUAAUUUUCAGAUGUUGGUGUGAUGAGUGGCUGCAUCAUAUUCAUCCAGAAGGACCUCCACAUCAGUGAAGUGCAGCAAGAAGUGCUCGUCGGGUGCCUCAGCUUCAUCUCCCUCCUCGGCAGCCUCGCCGCCGGGAGGACGUCCGACGCCGUCGGCCGGAAAUGGACCAUCGGGCUCGCCGCUGCCGUGUUCCAGGCCGGCGCGGCCGUCAUGACGCUCGCGCCGUCCUUCGCCGUGCUCAUGAUGGGCCGGCUGCUGGCCGGCAUCGGCAUCGGGAUCGGGAUCAUGGUGGCGCCGGUGUACAUAUCGGAGAUCACGCCGGCCACGCUGCGGGGGUCGUACGCCUCGUUCCCGGAGAUCUUCAUCAGCCUCGGCAUCCUCCUCGGCUACGUCUCCAACCUCGCCUUCUCCGGUCUCCCCGACCACAUCAACUGGCGAGUCAUGCUCGCCGCCGGCAUCGUCCCUUCCAUCUCCGUCGCGUUCGUGCUGCUGGUGAUCCCGGAGUCGCCGCGGUGGCUCGUCAUGCAGGGCCGGGCCGCCGAGGCGCGCGCGGUGCUUCUCAAGGUCACCGAUGGCGAGGACGAGGCGCAGGAGAGGCUCGCCGAGAUCGAGGAGGCGGCGCGCGUCACGGCCACCGGCAACGGCAAGGCCGUGUGGCGCGAGCUCCUGAGGCCGUCGCCGGUGAUCCGCCGCAUGCUGGUGACCGGCAUCGGCGUGCAGCUCUUCCAGCAGAUCACCGGCAUCGACGCGCUGGUCUACUACAGCCCGACGAUAUUCCGGGACGCCGGCAUCACCACCGAGAGCCAGCUGCUCGCCGCCACCGUCGGCGUGGGGCUCUCCAAGACGGUGUUCAUCGUGAUCGCCAUCGUCCUCGUCGACCGCGUCGGGCGGAAGCCGCUGCUGUACGUCAGCACGGCCGGGAUCACCGCGUGCCUGGCCGCGCUCGCCGCGUCGCUCUCCCUGCUCGCGCACGGCGCGCUGCCGCGGGCGGCGGCGAUCGGGGCGGCCAUCCUGACGGUGUGCGGCUUCGUGGCGUUCUUCUCGGUGGGGAUCGGGCCGAUCAACAUGGUGCUGAGCUCGGAGAUCUACCCGCUGCGGCUGCGCGCGCAGGCGGUGGCGCUCGGCUUCGCCGUGAACAGGCUGACCAGCGGCGCGGUGGCCAUGUCGUUCCUGUCCAUCUGCGGCGCCGUGUCCGUCGCGGGUGCCUUCGCCGCGUUCGCCGCCAUCUCGGCGCUGUCCGUGGUGUUCGUCCACGUGUUCGUGCCGGAGAUGAGCGGCAAGUCGCUGGAGCAGAUCGAGUCCCUGUUCGGCGCCGGCGCCGGCGCCGGCGAGGUGGAGCUCGGUGACGCGGAACAUCUGGUACAAGGGAAAGAAAUGAGCUGAUAAGUAGCAUGCCAACGAAGUAGCAUCUCACUCUUAUGAGCUUCUUGGUCAUAGUUGUGAUUACUGAUUACUAAGCAGUAAACACGGGAUAUCAACUUGCAAACUCUGCCAUGACUCUUCACCACGCACCCCGCGGUUCGGCGGUUACCAUGGUAACCACGAAAACAUGAUAACCACACGGUUUGGUAAAACCUGCUUACGAUACGUAUGAGUGUAUUGGGCGUAGAUAACAGCAAGGAGAAAAGCUCGUUCUCUUUUCUUAGACGCCAAUAAAUGAAAUUACGAACGGAUUACGCAAACGAAGGGAGCAGCCUGGCACAACAGACAGUACACUACACAGAGGAAGCAGCAUCUGUUCCACUUCCACACCAGAAAAUGGGCGUGCGCUCGUUUCUUUGCGUGCGAACAUUUUCCGACGGCCCACCAGCAAAAUUUUUCAAGGUCGCACCACGAAUCGGAUUGGGGCAUUGGGCCAUUUUUGCUUGCUGCACGAGACGUUUUUCUGCCAGUUUUAUUGAGUUUUUCUAUAGUGAUUUUGGAUAAAUUUAAAACACAAAUAGAAAUCUGACUAGUACUACUUAGAUUUUUUUUAACACAAACUUUAGGCAUAAACAAAGAUAGAGUUCGAUAUGAUUUCUUAGUUAAUGAACACCACUUAAAGACCAUAUUUCUACAAAAGACUCAGAUUCUUCCUAUUGCAUGUUCGCAUUUGAAUGCCCCCAAUGUAAUCCAGCACUUCCCGAGUACCUUAUCAUCCUUUCCAACAACAUACCUAGGUCUGCCCCUUCAUCUGCGCAAGUCGAGGAAAAUCGAUUACGUCCCACUGCUUGAUAAAAUUGGAUCUAAAAUCCCGGGUUGGAAGGGGAGAUAUUACUCAUCAGUUGGAAGGGAGACUCUCGUUAAGUCAGUGUUCACGGCAAUGCCGGUGCACUAUCUCACUGCCCUGCCGGCCCCAAAGUGGGUGAUCAAAAUGAUUGACAAAAUGAGAAGGACUUUCCUCUGGAAGGGAGAGGAACCGGAGAACGUCAAACCGGGGACGAGUCUAGUAAACUGGCAGACCGUGUGCAUGCCGAGAGAUUUGGGAGGACUGGGGAUCCUUGAUUUGGAAAGAUUUUCAUUGGCUUUGUGACUGAGAUGGCUAUGGAUGCGCUGGCAUGAUCACAACAGGCCUUGGAAUGAGAUGGAACUACCUCGCAACGCAAAAGAUGUACAACUAUUCUAGGCUUGCACUGAAAUUGUUAUUGGAAACGAAAAGAAAAUCCUAUUCUGGAAAGACAACUGGCUACAAGGAAUGUGCCCUAAAGAUAUGGCCCCAAACCUCUUUCAACUUGCAAGAAGGAAGAACAAAAAUUUAAUAACUGAACUUGAUCACAACCAUUGGGUCUACUCAUUCAGAGAAAUUGACAAUGGUGAAGUAAUCCAAGAGCUUGUGCAUCUCGGCAGCCUUCUUACUCAAACACAACUAACGUCAGAAAAUGAAGACUACAUAAUCUAGAAGAGAAAUAGCAAAGGUAUAUAUUCAGCCCAAAGUGCAUAUCAAUUCCAAUUCAUUACCUGUCAACAUGAUCAGACCUUCAAAGCCAACUGGAGAGCCCAGGCAUUACCCAAGCAAAGGUUCUUCGGCUGGCUCAUCCUGCACAAAAGAGCUCUAACAGCUGAAAAUCUGCUAAUCCACCAUUGGGAAUGUGAUUGGAUAUAUCCCCUUUGUAGAAGCGCCUGUGAAGACACUGACCAUCUUUUUAGGGAGUGUGAUUUCAUUAGAACCACUUGGAGCCUAGUGGCGGUAGCUCAGGGCAUGCAAACUGCGAUAAAUUCAAACUCCACCGCUGAAUGGAUGAUGGCUUUAGCUCAUGGAACCAAUAAGGCUGAAUCAAAACGAAGAGUGGGAAUUCUGAUCAAAACCUGGUGACACGUUUGGCUACAAAUAAAUGCUAAGGUCUUCAAGCAACAAGAGCCAUAUGCACAACAAGCGGCCCAGCAGAUCGGGGAAGACAUUCAAGAAAAUGAGUUUGUUUUUCAGCCUCCUUGAUGAAGUCUGCUCUACUGCUUUCUUUCUUUCUCUAUUGCAGUCUACCUCCUAUCGUUUGUCUGCUUUCUUUUUGCUUGCUGAAAGUUGUUCCGUUACGUCUCUAAUAAUACGCUCCUAAGCGAUUUGUAACUCAUACUCCCUCCGGAUUGAUAAUACCUUGUCGUUUUGGACAAGGACAUGGUCUCUAAAAAAACAACUUUGAUCAUUAUUUAAAUUGUUAACAAAUAUAUGAUCAUAUUAAAGUAUUUUUUAAGACUAAUCUAUACAUGUAGUCAUCAUAUUUGAAAGACAAAUAUUUUAAAAAUGAUUCAUAAUCAAAGAUUGUAAAGUUUGACUUCACCCUUGUCCAAAACGACAAGUAUUAUCAGCUCGGAGGGAGUAGUAAAUUUCACCUUAAUUAAACUAUAUAACAAUAAUAAAAUUAAAAUAGCCUUCACCCGUUGUAACACACGGACAUCUUUUCCAGUAAAAAGAAAAAAAGGGAAAAAUAAUUCUCCGUAUUGGGCCUAACGUAUAUGAGGCCCAUGCUCUCUAGUAGCACCUAAAAUUAAGCCCAAAAGGGACCGAUCAGUUCUAUUACGAACGGAUUAGCGACCAUUAAUUAAGAGAGCGCGUGACGGAUUAAGCGAAGCGAACCACGCAAAUAAUACUACACACGCGCGUCACGGACACCACCCAGUCCCCUCCCCACACCACGCGCCGCCCAAAACCUCCGCCGCGUUUCGCACCACCACCACCGCCGCCGACCAUGGCCUCCUUCUUCGCCGACGACGGCGCCGACGAGCUCCCCCGCACCGCCUCCCACCCCUUCGACGCCGACGACGACGCCGCGCCCGAUGCAUCAGGAGGCGCCGCCGCCGACGACACCGGAUACGGCGGCUACGCCUCCUUCGUCGACGGCGGCGUAGAGGAUGUGGAGGAGGAGGAGGAGGAGAUCGCCGUGGAGUCCGAGGGGGUCCCGAUCGGCCACGUCUCCGGAGGGUUCUCGCCCUCGCCCUUCUCCCCCGACCCGGAGCUGGACGGCGGCGACGGCCCUAUCCUCCCGCCGCCGGCCCAGAUGGGGGCGGAGGAGGGGAUCCUCCUCCGCGAGUGGCGCAGGUGAGCACCGCAUCUGAUCUGUCCGGGCCUUUGCCGUUUCGGCUACUGCUUGCUUGCUUUCGCUGGUGCUAGGGUUCCGACGCAUCGAGCGAGAUCUAACGCUUAGAUCUGAUAUUUCGCCUAAUUUUCAGCUAGGUGGGGCGGAAUAGAGUUUGUAGUGAGGCUGUAUUAUCGUAUUAUAUGUCGAUUUUAGUUAGGAUGAAACUUGAACUUGUUGUUUAGGAAUUGCAGUGAUUGAUUAGGCUGAGGCUUCAACUGGUUCUGAAUUCUUAGCUAGUGGUACUGAAUUUAGUUAGUGCAAUUGAAUCUGGUUUGGCAGGAGCUGUUGUUAAAUGCCUUUGCUUGUGAGGAAAGUUUGUUAGCUCUGGUACUGGUAUAUGUACAAAAUAAUCGCUAGUUAGCUUCUACUCAUAGAACAACAAGAUGCUUGAUCAGUGUUGCACACACUCCAAAGGGGAAUUGAUGUCUUUGCAUGUGCAUUAAAAGGCUCAUGUUUCUUGUUUAGUGAAGUUAAAACACUUUAAGUACUUGAACCAUUCUUCUCUAUCAUCAUGGUGUGGAAAUGAGCAUAAGGCCAAUCUCAUUUUGCAAUUCACCCAUGGUCUGUUACAUGUUUCAACUUUCAAGAUAAGCCUCAGGCUUAAGCAAUAAUGCAGUACACGUAACAGUUUUCUGAGUUAAUGAGCAAAUGCUUAGUUUAUCUUGAGCUAUCUUACAUGUUUCUUGGUGAAUGGUGAUAUUAAUCCUAGGUCUUACCAUGAUGAUGGUUCGCACCCUUACUCCUUUUGAUGCUUGUCUUAGGAUGCUUUAAUUGAUCUUAAAAUCAGCUUGAUUUGCCAGAACAUAAAUCACCAUUUUUAGUGCUAUGCCACAUGGGCAUGGAACGUGCUCGGCAAAGGUGUGUGCCAACAGGAGCAAACUGGCUACUUGUUUGUGCUUCUGAAAUUUGCAUUUUGUCUGUCAUGAUCUUAUAUUCUGCACUUGCACGCUCUUCUGCACCUGUCAAAUUUUUAGUAGUUUCAUGUAUAUCCAUUCUCAGCUCAAAUUUUGUAAGGUGGUAAUGUUAGCAGUUUUACUACCAGUGGUAUGUGUUUUUGUGCCUAAUUUAUCCUGUGCUUGGUAUAAUCUGGUCAUUACAAUUGCAACAGUAUAUUUUGCAUUAGUAUAUAGCGCAGGUGAGCCACAUCUGAUCUGUUUCGGCUAUGCCAUUUCUGCUAUUGUUUGUUUGCUUCCGUGGGAGCUAGGGUUCCACCCCUUCAAGCGAGAUCCAACGCUUAGAUCUGCUAUCUUCCCUAAUUUUCAGCUAGGGAGGGCGUCAUACAGUUGUAGUGAAAUUGUCGUUAAGGAAAUGGCAAGUGAUCGAUUAGUUUGAAGGUACAACCAAUUCUGAUCUGGUUCUCAUGCCCCUGCAGUAUCGUUCUUCAAGAGCUGCUGUUUAACUGCCUUUGCUUGUGAGGAAAGUUUUCUAGCUCUGGUAUACGUACAAAAUAAUCAUUACUUAACUUUUACCGAUGGAACAACAAGGUGCUUGAUUCAUUAUGCGCACACUCCAAAGGGGGGCUGAUGUCUUUCCAUGUGCAAUAAAAGGCUUAUGUUGAUUUGUUUAGUGAAGAAAACCUAAGUACAUGCACCGAUUUCUUUUUUCAGCCUGGCAUGGAAAUUAGUGUGAGGCCAGUGUCAUUUUACAAUACAUGUAUGGUCUAUUACAUGUUUCAACUCUCAAGAUAAGCCUAAAGCUUAAGCAGCACUGCAGUAGGCUAACAGUUUUGUGAUUUAUGAUCACAGGCUUGUAAGGCUAGUUUGUCUUGAGCUACAUUAUCUGUUUUCUUCCAGUUGGAUAUCUUGGUGAAUCCUAAUAUUUAUCCAGAACUUACUCCUUUGGAUAUUUAUGUCCUCUAAUGUAUCAGAUGCUUUAUGUGAUCUUAAAAUGAGUUUGUAGUGCCAGAACAUAAGUCACUGCUUUUAGCGCUAUGGUUGGCCAAAGGUGUAUGCCAGCAUGAGCAAGCUGUCUACUUGUUUGUGCUUCUGUAAUGAGCACUUUGUCUGGCAUGAUCUUAUAUUCUGCACUUGCACACUCUUCUGCACCAGCCUAUCCAGAUUUUUUGUUAGUUUCUCGUAUAUCCAUUCUCAGCUCAAAAGUUUGUAAGGUGGUAAUUAGCAAUUUUACUACCAGUGGAAUCGUGUUAUGCCUAAUUUAUCCUGUGCUUGGUAUGAUCUGAACAUUGUAAUCACAAUAUUAUACAUCUUGCUAUAAUGUUUUUGCUUUGGCUGUUCUCUAGUAACUGUUUUCCUUAUCAUGUAGAAUUAUAUUAUGUUCAUGAUCUAUCUUUUGAACAGCAUCACUAUUGUUUCAGGCAAAAUGCUAUAGUUCUUGAGGAAAAAGAGCGGAAGGAGAAGGAGCUACGGGCCCAGAUACUUGCUGAAGCCGAAGAGUUUAAGAAGGCUUUCUAUGAGAAGAGGAUACAGAACUGUGAGACAAACAAGGUCCAUAACAGAGAAAGAGAGAAGGUAUGGGGCUCAGAGCAACUUCUUUAGUUAUUAUAUGUCAAUGUUCAUAGCAUGUCCAUUAAGUUCUCAUGAGUGACAACUUAUUGUGUGCUGCAGAUUUUCGUAGCUGGCCAGGAGAAAUUCCAUGCCGAAGCAGACAAGCAGUACUGGAAGUCGAUAUCGGAGCUCAUCCCACAUGAAAUAGCUACCAUUGAGAAGCGGGGAAAGAAGGACAAGGACAAGAAGCCAUCCAUCACAGUCAUUCAGGGCCCUAAGCCUGGCAAGCCGACAGACCUCUCACGAAUGCGCCAGAUCUUAGUGAAGCUGAAGCACGCUCCUCCACCGCACAUGAUGCAACCUCCACCAGCGUCUGCUGCUAAAGACGGCGCAAAGGAUGGUGCUAAAGACGGCACACCAGCCCCAGCAAAUGGAACCAAGAAGCCUGCAGAGAGCAAAGAGAAACCUGCCAACGGAUCGCCUGCGGAAGCAGAGAAGGAGCAGCCUGCAGCAUCGGAGUAACUUAUGGUAGCUCUACAGGAACGCCCGAACCUUGACUGCAGAUAUGGAAAUGCAUUUUAUUUCUAAUCCCUGGAUCUGUCUAUCCUGUAUUUAUCUUUUUAUGGAGAUUUGCGUCAGGAUGGCUAUGUAUCAGCUCUCAGAACAUUCAGCUUAGUAUCACAGCAAUUGUACUCUUUACUUGUUUUCACCUGGUACAAGUAGCUUCAGUGGAUACUUUGUGAUCAUAAGUUCAGAACUGAAAGCGUAACUGAAUGAUGGAUAUCAGACACGAUUUCUUCCCUGUGGAUACUCUGUGAUCAUAAGUUCAGAACUGAAAGCGCAACUGAGUGAUGGAUUAUACACGAUUUCUCUCUCCUGUGCCAUGUCUACAGAAGCUGUUCUGUUCAAUUGCCCCCAAAAUUAAUGUCCAACAAGCAGCGAUCUUGAAUUGCUCUGACGUAAACAAGUCAGGAUCAACCUACUACUAUUUACAAGAUCUAGAUGCCGCAAUUUGCACAAGGAAUGGAAAGAAACAACACGAUUCACAAUUGGCACACAUCUAAACGUGUGCCCUCUAUGCACUGUCACUCAACUCAACAUGCAAAGGUAAGACAAGAAACAUAGACCCAGCAUCAGCAUCAAUCAGCCUGGUGAUGUUUUCCUUCCAUUUUCACCUUGGGCUGAUCUCGGACACCGUGGGUGGCACCACCGUGCUGAACAUGUCGGAGGUGUCGGACGCCGAGUGCUUGAACCUCGAGUUGCUGGAGUUGGUGGCCUUGGAGACCGUGCCAUUGUAGUCGUGGAUGUAGCCCGGCGCCGUGAGCUCGCGCUCGUUGAUGCGGAUGGGCUUGGACAGCAUCGUCACCACCUGCGGCAUCGACGGCCGCCGCGCCGCCGCCGCCUGCGUGCAGAAGAGGGCCGUCUUGAUGUACCGGAGGACCUCCUCUUCAGGGUAAUCUCCCAUUUCUGAAUCCACCAGCUCCUUGAGCUUCCCUACCUCAUGUAGCUCCCAUGCCUGUUAAUUGUGAAAGCUAGGCUGAGUUUGGCAGCAAGAGUUGGUAACUCAUCCCCCACACGCACGUAAAACGGAGCGACUCAUUAGUACAUAAUUAACUAACUUUUUUUUUUUCAAAAUAUGGAUUAAUAUGUUCUUUUUAAAAACAACUUCUCUUUUGCAAAAAAAAAAUAGCGUUUAACAGUUUAAAAGACAUGCGCGUGGAAAACGAUAGAGAUGAGUUGGGAAAUAUAGCUGCGUAAUUAACACGGCCUUAAUUGAUGCAGAGGCUGGAAUUAUACUUCCAUUCUCUAAUAAAAGAUUUAGAUGGAGAGUCCAGCGAUUACGGCUUAAUUGGAAUGUCUCUAGAGCAAAUGUCUGAAGGUGAAAGCAAAUCUCUGAAUUUUGGAUAGUAAAGAUGAUAGUAAGACUGACCUUCUCUAGGAGAAUCUUAUCGUCAGCCAGGAGACUCCUUGAACUACUCUUGCCACUUACGAUCUCAAGUACAAGGACGCCAAAACUGUAUAUAUCGGCUCUCUUCGUCAAUUGGCCAUGCCAUGCAUAUUCCGGUGCAAGGUAGCCUCUGCAUUGAACAAAUAGAUCAGUUCAGUUACUGCAACUGCAAGGUUACUUUCUACUCAAACAAACUGCUAAAUGCUGAAAUACUCACGUCGUUCCAGCAACACGGGUACUGAUGUGGGUGAUAUUAUCAGGGAAUAACUUGGCUAAACCGAAGUCCCCGAUCUUGGGGUUGUAAAGCUUGUCAAGAAGUAUAUUGCUAGCCUUGAUAUCUCUGUGCACAAUCGGUGACGCAAUCUCUUCAUGCAGGUAUGCAAGUCCUUUGGCGAUUCCUAUGCAUAUAGCAGAUCUUAUGCUCCAAGUAAAAUUUGCAGGUUCGCUAUUAGAACCUACAGAACACAAGAUAAAAGGUUAAGCAACAAACGAAAUCAAUGCACUUAUAUAGAAAAAUAGUCAUUGUAACAUAUCAAUAUUCAUACCCAACAAUGCACGGUCAAGGCUGCUGUUUUCUAAAUACUCGUAUACCAAAAUUCGAUUGUUUCCUUCAACACAACAGCCAAUUAAUUCAACAAGGUUGGGAUGCUUCACAUUGGUAAUAACAUCAAUUUCUGUCAAAAAUUCUCGAACGCCCUGCCUGGAUUCAGCAGAAAGAACUUUCACCGCAACAUCUCGCCCAUUUCUAAUAGUUCCCUGAAACAUCAAAGCAUUGGUAAGAAUGCAAGGACUGAUGGCUUCAGAUUUGAAAGGGAUAUAACCCUCAAUGGACUCCUCCCUUCCACAUAUAAAGAAAAACAAACAUUACCUUGUAUACUGUCCCAAAGCCACCUCGGCCAAUUUUAUUACUGCGGUUGAAGUUUUCUGUUGCUGAUCUCAACUCAGAAUAAGAGAAAAGCCUUAUGUUUUUCUCAGGCGGAAUACCUGAAAGUUAGUUACAUUUAGUUAAGUAAAGCAUGGAAUCUUAAAAUGGAGCUUCAGUACUGGCAUUCUCUAGCCUAAUAUGAUCGAAUCUGUGAUAGGGACAAUAUACAUGUUUCUAUUUCAUAAACUCUGUUGGCUGCUAUGCAAAUUCAGCAUAAAUUUUGCAAGCAAAUACAGUUCGUACCGCUAACGCCAUGAGAGUAAGGAUUCUCUCCUUUCUUGGAUUUUGGAAUGCAACACCACCAGCUCAUAUCCUCAGUUGUUGUGGCUGUCUUGUACACUUCAACAUGCAGAAGAGGAAUCUUCAGGAAUAAUUAUUCUGCAGGAAUUCAUUGCGAAACAACCACUUAGAGAGUUGCAAAUUGAGUUCAUUUGUACAUUUUAUAUAUUUUGGAUAUAUAGUACAGAAAAGGGAAAAUAAAAAGUAGGACAUGACUCUCUUUAGACAGAAGUCUGCGCAAAACUUCUUGUUAGAACUGAUAGGUAGAUGCAGAUCCACCCACAUUAGCCUGUACUAGAGUAGGUCAGGAACUGGAGUACAAUUAAAUCUCCUUUUUGAAACCGAGUACAAUUAGAUCUUAAAUCCAUCAUUCCUCAUGAUUAAAGCACAAAAGAACCUCAUACUGGCAAGCUUUCAAUGAUAACUGAUUAAUCGGUGCCAUGAUUGUGAACUUGCGAUUCUCAUGAUGAAAAGAAACAUGACCCAAAAUUUUGGGGAUGCCAGGUGCAUUUGGACCACAUAGCUCCAAUCUCAGGUGAAUAUACCAGAUGUUCCACUGGAUCCAAUGGCCAUGUAUGGCACAUGUAAAUACUAGGUUAGCACCUCAUCCACUGAACAGUUCACAUGAUUUGCAAAGCAAACGGCCAGAUGGCAUAGCUGCCAAGAACAAUCACCAAAGCAAGCUGAAGUUUGGUGAUUUCUUCUAACACCAUGGUCCACUCGCCUCAAUCUGUAUGCUUGUACAUAUGCAUAUUUUCAUGGGAGUAUCAGCAUGUCUUAAACCAUUAUCAUCCACUUCUUUUCCCCAAUCAAUUCAAACACCUCAUAAGUAACGGAUCAUCCAACUUGUUUAUUCAGACCACAAUUCCAAGAAUUCUUUUGUUCGCAUCCCAGCGGAUGAUUCGACGGCAUCACUUAUUUUCAGAAUCUCUGUCCGAAUGAUGCUUUGCCACUCAAGAAAAACUCUUGACAGAUCGUCAUCUGAUGAACACAAACUCCCAGAGCAUCACCACAUCACAGGUCAGGACUCCAGACGCAUCAUCAGAAAUCAGGUGGAGAAACUCUAGGCUAAAACUAGUGUGCGAGAAAGCCCAAGAACUAGGAAAUCAAGAACACGAGGGGAUAAAAACAACAAGAGGCAAGAAAUGCUUCGAGAAAGCAGCAGAAAAGUACCAAAGAAAAACAAAACGUUGAACACUAUGGUUACCUUUCUUGCUUGGCGCUCUCUUCCGAUGAGAUCGACGGCAGAGGAGAUCGAAGAGGACGGAGACCAGGGAAGUUUAAAGGGGGAAGAGAAAGGUGGUUGGGGCUCAAUUAUCAGCAGAUAUAUCUGUAGCAGCUGGCCAGUUGAGCGAACUUGCUAACGAUUGCAGUGUUGCAGAUUGGCAGGUUCAGCUCAGCUCAGCACGAGCAACAGCAGCAGCUGCUGCAAUAAAGACCAACAGCGAAAAUGGUACGAGGGAAGAAGGAGCUACCAGCACGCCACAAAACCUAAAUAAAAAGUUGGAACAAAAUAAUACUACUAUCAAGAAGAUGUAGGUGAGAGAUAGCAGCCGGCUGGGAAUGAGGAAGAGGAGGAGGAAGAAGAAGAGGUCUUCUUGCUGAUGCUAAUUGCUAUUCCUACCUCCUACUAAGUAAUUGCUACUCCCACUGAAGUCCCUUUGAUAAAAAAAAUUAAAAAAAUCACUACUUACUCCGUUAUAAAAUAUAAUAAUAAAUUAUUUUAGUUUUCUUGUUCCUGAAAAUAUUCUAUCUAUCUCCUAAAAUAUAAUAGUUUCUUCAUCAGUAUUCUAUUUUCAACCAGUUAAAGCAACUUAUCUUUUAAUUUCUUCACCUAAUUAAUUUUCUCAACUAAUCAUAUUCUUUUUUAAGCUUUGGUCCUUCUUAAUUAAUUUUCUCAACUAUUUUUUUCUUUUAAUUUUGUCUGUUGUUCACACUACUUUUUCUAACCUCAAAUUUUUUUUAUAUUUCGGAAGAGAGAUAAUUCUGUGGAGCUUGCCUGGAUGUUGCCACCUGCCGCCAGGCGUGGAGCUGUCACCUGUCACAAGAACACUCAAUAGCUAGUAUCCUGCUAAUUACCAGCGCGCGACGCAAUCGCUGCCGCCAUCAGCACAGAUAAUUAGCAUUAAGCCCUGCCCGAUCAUUCUCCCUAAUUAUUGCGAGACCAAGAUUAUUUUAGAGUAUAAUUAGGUGCUACUACUGCUGGUAUUGUAUCCCAACCAACCUGCCGGUGCCAGCCAGGGACAUUGCUCGCUGCCCUGAGCCUGUAUUGGCGCCUAACCUGAUGAAUCAUAUCCAUCAGGGUCGUCGCGUACGCCGACCGCAGCUCGAUCGAUCGCACGCCGGCCACUUCCACACUGGGGAUUGUCUGUGGAACUAGGGACUUGUUUAGUUACCAAAAUAUUUUUCCCAAAAAUAUCACAUCGAAUCUUUAGACAUAUACAUGAAACAUUAUAUAUAUAUAUAUAUAUAUAUAUAUAUAUAUAUAUAUAUAUAUAUAUAUAUAUAUAUAUAUAUAAACUAAUUGCACAGUUAAUCGUAAUACAAUUUUUUUAGCCUAAUUAGUCUAUAAUUAACUAUAAGUGCUACAAUAACUCACCUGUGCUAAUGAUAGAUUAAUUAGGCUUAAUAAAUUAGUCUCGUGGUUUUCAGACGAGUUAUGAAAUUAGUUUUUUAUUCGUGUCCGUAAACCCCUUCUGAUACUGAUAAAACGUUUGAUGUGGCACCCAAAAUUUUUUUUUCGUGAACUAAAACACCCUAGCUUGAUCAUCUGGACCAGCGGCUGCCAACGAACGAGGAGUCAGUAGAAAAAACUUGGUGUUUUCAUCGCUCUUGUCACUACGUGUAGCCUACGUAUGUUAACAGUACACGAAAGAGGAGAGAUAUUUACGUGCUUGAGAAAUAAUUUUCUACGGUCCUGUCGUUUCGCUCACGCUUAUAGUUAUUCUUAUUCGUAUUACUUGUUAGCAAUCAAAAAAUAAUUUAAGUAAUUAUUUUAUGUGUGUACUUGAUGAUUCAGAAUUAAAUAUUGUAAAAUAAACUACGAUGAACAAAUCAUGAAAUCAGCUUUUAAAAUUUAAAUUUUGUCUUAUAGGUUUCACUAUAAGUGAAAUGAUAAGGUUGUACGUAUCAAAGCUAGGGCAUGUUGUUUUUAAGGAAUUGAAGAAUGGAAUGCAUGAGUUAUUAGACGGUGUAGUUUUCACAAAGAAAUUUUCUGAAAAAAAUGGAUUAAUACCUGACCUCUAAAUCCAAACAGUUGUACACAUGAAAAGAAAGUAAACUGCUUUAAAUUUAUAUUUUAACUCUAUGUGGUCACAAAAUCAUUCAUCUAACCCGAACAAAAAUCAAGCCCUAAUUAGAGUUAAUUAACGCAAGUUAAUUAAUACUACUACAUGAUUUAACUCCUCGUUUUAAGUGAGCUCCUGUGUUUUCUUGCUGUUGGCUUAGGUGGACUGGUGACGAGUCAACGACUGACAUCCGCUGCUAUUUCCUGUUUUGGUUUUGGAUGAUUGCUGCCUUCUUGUCAACCAAUUAUGCUCUGUUACUGUUGAUGUUCACACGUCCAUCUGGUGUGAUCUGAUUUGUUUUGAAGGAGUCUACGCCACGAUCAUCCAAUUGCCCUAUUGUUGUUGUUACUGUAUAAGACUAAUGUGACUCGUCAGAAGCGAAGAGCUCCAUAUCUCUGACGGCAUCGUAUAAAAAUAGUAUUAUGUGUUCUCUCCUGUUGUGUUUUUGUUGUGUUGUGCCAAACUACUACUUUUCAGCGUGACCUAAUCCUUUCGUCACAGGUUGUCACCAGCCACGAGCACGAAAUGAUAAUGCAUGUCAUUGAUCCUUCUCAUAAAUCAAUCGUAUCUUAAAGUCUGAAAUUAACGUUUUUUUUAUUUACUACUACUCAGUUUAAGUGAGGGUGAUCACUACCUUUGUCAUUACAUCCAUUGGUACAGCACGCGCGAGAGCGAAAACUUUUACAAACCCUCAAUUAAGCCUCAUCUAAAAUGAAUACAAUGGGAUUUUGUUUAUGAAAUGAACUAAUUUCUAUAAAAAUCCUGUAAAAUUCCUAUGUUCAAAAAUAACUCCUAAACAUAUGAAUUGUUGGAAAUUUAGAAUGAAAAUGCUAGAAGUAUUGUCACCAAUUGUUUAUUAAAAAAACAUUUGAUUUCUGAACUGCUAGAUUACAUCAAAAUUUGGAAUGAAAUUGCUAGAACUCUAUCGCCAAUUGUUCGUCGAAAAGAUUUUCUAUUUCUAGAGUAUCAUAUUGCAUCAAAAUUUGUUCAGGGAGAAGGGGAAAAAAAUGUACGAUGCGCAUGGAAGGUGGGUAUAGAAUGCACGAUCUGCAAGACACAAACACGUGUCUACAGGUCAACUGUGUCACACGCUGUUUUUAUAAGUUAAAUAAAAGUUACUGUAACCAUACUAUAGUUAUGCUCUAAAGAUUUUCUUUUUUCUUAAAAAAGAAAACUGUUGUCAGAUUUGGAUAGCCCCAAUCAAUAAUCAUCAGUGGAAUGAGACGUAUAACCAACGAAUCAUCUUGCGGUAACGUAGCCGGCCGGCCGCCUUCCCACGGAGGCCGGCAAUGGUGAUUCGUUGAACAUUUUGAUCGAUUCGCCGCUGCUGACCUCCCAGCGUUGAUGGCGAUCCAACCAUAUCUUACCAUAUAUCCCCGAGCAUCCCUGCUAAGAGCAAGGAUAAUAGUGGGCUAUAAGGCCAGUCACAAUGGGGGUUUCACUGGUGUGUCAUGCACAUUUAAUAGGGGUAAGACUGAAUAAAAAAUGAUUAUUUGCAUGAAAUGGGGAUGAGAGAGAAGGAAAGAGUUUCAUCCUGGUGAAACUCGUCAGCGUCGUUUCCAAGUCCUCGGUAACAGAGUGAAACCCCCGUUGAGGCCGAUUCGUUUCAUUCACCGGAUCUCUUGCGUCCGCCUCCGCCGUGCGACCUCCGCAUUCUCCCGCGCCGCGCCGGAUUUUGGGUACAAAUGAUCCCAGCAACUUGUAUCAAUUAAAUGCUUUGCUUAGUCUUGGAAACGUCAAAGUGAAACCCCUCCACUGUGGGGAUUGUUUCAUAAAAGAUUUCAUUUGAGAGAAGAUGGUAUAAUAUUUUGGGUAGCCGUGCAAUGACACUAGCCAUUGUGACUGGCCUAAGUAAGCUAUAUGUUUAUCUGAAAGAGAAAGAUAAACAAAAAAAUAGGGAGUAUUGGCUCUCAUGCAAGAGUUAACUGCACACAAACUCCAAGAAAUAUGCAUUAAAUUCAUGGUGAGAGAAAGAGAGAGGAUGAAGAAAAUAAUGAUAAACUUAUAGCCAAUUUACUAUACAUGUUAGCUUUAACAUUGACUAAUAGUAAGUAGUGAGCUCUACUAUUAAACUUGCUCUAAUGCUGCCAAUGGCAACACUGUUAGCUUCCAUAAUUACUGCGCAUUAUACUGCCUCAUUUGACCGUGGAUUUUUUUUCUCUGCAUUUCUGCCUCCUGUUCGUGGCCAAAAAUUCAGACAACGCUGCAUCAGACGUGUUAUAGUACUCUUGUUAUUUAGUAUUUGACUUGAAGGUCAUCUAAUCUACCGGUAGAGAGGCACAUUCGUAUGUUGCUCAUUAUAGUGGUACACUUGUUGGUUAGUGGUAAUGCUAUCCAGUGGGCAGGCAGUGGCAUCUCCAUUGCUUUUCGCCAUUAUUAUCACCGUGACUCCAGCUGCUUCACCAUGUGAUUUGCUGACCGUCAUGUUGGUGCAUGCAUCAACUCUUUUCCCAUGUGUUUCUUUUCACAUAAAUUGAUCUGACGAUCUUCAAGUUGCUUGCAGUAAUACGUACAGUUCGUUUGGUAAAAUUCAGAGAGGUGUAUCAAUAGUAGGAGUAGAAUGAACCUUGUGUUCAGCUUCCACGCAAUGUCCUCCGACAUGACAAAUGACAGUUUAUGGGACUAGAUCAAACGAUUAUCUAUUUCAUUAUCUUUAAAAAAAUCGACGGUUCAGUCAAAAAGUACUGCAUUUCUUAGGAUAAAUUACUCGUUAUUGUUCGUCGCGAUGUGCAGAUAGAUGCAGUUUAGUUUGGUUUUGCCUGCAUCCACGGAUGAUAGGUACUUGACAGAACAACGAGCACUAUGCGACUAAGUUGGAUGCUUCAGUUUUACAGGAAAAAGAGCAGAGGACUGAUGUUGAUUCAACCUGCAGUACCUGAGGCCACAACACUUUGCCUAAGUCAUGGGUCGUUGACAUUUGAUAUCUAUAAUUUUCUUUAAUCUAUAGCGUCUUUUACUAACGAAAUAAGAUUUUUUUUCUCUGCCUCAAAAAAACCAAGUCAAAAGGUUUCAAAGAUGCCAUCUUGCAACCAGGUGCCAUUCCAUGAGGGCAGCGGCCAUUCAUUUUUCACGAGCUUCACUAUUUAUGUAUAGUACCAUCAAGGACAAGUUCAUUUGGCGUUGGACCAGCGGUGACUACUCAACUCUUUGGCAAAGUGGCGGACCAACCAAAUGUAAGCUUUUUCUUUGGUUGGUGAUUCAGCGAUGCUGCUGGAUGAUCGAUAGUAUGCUCAGUUAAGGGAUGGAGAACCACUCGAUGUGCCCCUUCUGUGCGCAGGAAGAGGAGAUAACAAACCACAUCCUUAUCUAUUGCGUCUUUGCUAGGUAAGUCUUGUGCAAUCUACUCCCUCCGUACUAGUAAAGGAAAUGGUUUAGGAUAAUGUUUAAGUCAAACAUUAGAAAUAUAAAUUAUGAAUAACUCUCAAGUUAUUAAGUUUGAAAAUGUAAAACUUAUAUGAAUAGAUUUGUCUUGAAAACACUUUCAUAAAAGUAUACAUAUAUCACUUUUCAAUAAAUAUUUUUAUAGAAACAAUAAGUCAAAGUUGUGUUUUGGAGACCGUGUCACUGUCAAAAACGACUUCCUUUACAAGUACGGAGGGAGUAUUGAUUUUUGAUGGACUAGCUACUCUCUCACCAGGCCGUCACUCAGUGCUCUAAGAUUAGUGGCAAGCUUUUGCGGCAUCGCCACCAUAAUAAGAGUAGGAAAUGUCUCGACUCCCUUGUCAACUAUGGAAGGAGAGGAAUGCCCAUGUCCUUGAUGAUGUUCUAUCUCAAGUGCUGAUGGUGGUGGAGCAGAUUGUGGAAGAAGGGAGGCAAUGGGUGGCGACAACUGCCAAUCCAGUUGGAGAGUUGUUAGGCACAUAGCUUAGUUAUGUUUAGUGUAGUUUCUUCCUCUCUCGGUCUCAGCUUAGGAGCUUUGUUGGGUGAUCGUCUAGGCGUGUCACUUUUUUUCUAAUAUAUUAACAUGCAAGAGGUCAUAGCUUAGGAGCUUUGCUGGUUGAUCGUCUCGGCGUGUCACUUUUUUUUCUAAUAUAUUAAUAUGCAAAGUUUUUUUACGUGUUAGCAUAUAUAUAUAUAUAUAUAUAUAUAUAUAUAUAUAUAUAUAUAUAUAUAUAUAUAUAUAUUAUAGAGAGAGUAACGUCUCUGACUUUUUAAAGGUGACAAGAACAGUAGAUCGCCCAUUGGAAUUAUCCAUAGAAAGCUGAUGAGUACGAUGAAUUAAAGCUGGUCAUGGGAUUGGUCAAUUAAUAUAACACUAUAUGAUUGCCUUUUUUUUCCUCCGCUUGGUCAUAACAAAAGACAGAGAAUUGAUACAUAGGGCUCGGUCAUUUUCUUCUAGAUACAAGAAAAUUUUGCCCCGUUCUUUUCUAAUUAAGAUUCAUAUUUUAUCUCAGUUUUCGUUAGCACACUUUUCAAACUACUAAACGGUGUGUUUCGUACGAGAACUUUCUAUAUAGAAGUUGCUUUAAAAUACCAAAUAUGUGGAUUUGUCAAGUUUGUAAUAAUUAAAACUUAAUUAAUCAUGUGCUAAUGGCAUUCUCGUUUUCCGUACGCCAACUUAAUUUUCAUCUUCAUCGGUUUUAUGUCAAGUCAGCAUAUUUUACUCUACCAAUUACUAGUGGAAGGUGCAAUGAAGCUGAAAAAACAUGUGAGGAAAACCUGCAGAUUAAAAAUAUAUUUAUAUAGAACUGAUAUAAAUAUAUUUUUAAUCUUUAUAUAGAACAUGUGAGGAAAGCUUGGAUGCAGAAGCUUUAGCAUGCAUCCAAGCUUUGAAAUUAGCUAAUGAUAUGGGAAUGGGCCACAUUAUUGUUGAAACUGAUGCUCAAGCUCUGAAAGCGGCUUUGUUGGAUGAAACACAUGAUAGAAGUGUAAACGCUGUUAUCAUUAGAGAGGCCAAAUUUUUGCUUGCAAUGAAUUUUAAUGUCCAUCAAGUCAUGUAUUGUCCUAGAGAAUGUAAUCGUGCUGCGCAUGAGCUUGCUAAAAUUGGUGCUUCUCUGGGUCCACGAAGCCAAUUUGUUUGGCUUGAAGGAUUCCCGGAUGAUGUUUGCAAUUUGGUAGCUAGUGAUUCAGCUGGACUACCUGCUUAAUGGAAUUGUUCUUCUUCAAAAAAAAUAAAAAUAUAUUUAUAUAGAACUGGUCAGGUGAAGAAAUGCUACUACAGGCCAAAAAUACUGGUGAACUAUUAUUGGACCUGAGCAUUAUUCCGACAAAACAUAUUGAAGCUGAAAACAUGGGCGAAUCACCUGUAAAUUAAAAAAUCUAGAACUGGGCAGGUGAAGAAUUAGUGCUACUAUAAGCCAAAAAUACUGGCGAAUUAUUGAACCUGAGCAUAGAAUUAUUCAGACAAAAAAAAUAUACUACUAUAUGGCAUCGUCGAAGUGUCGAUCGAGUCGUUGCAUAUUUGGUGAGCUGUGACCCUACCAUCCAAUCCAUGGUCGCACUCAACGCAUCUUAUAAAUUAGUUAGAUAUUUAGUAGUUUUAAAUAGACCGAUACGUGCGGAAAAGAUGCUUCUUGGAAUGUUGUUUGGGAUUCAAAUAUUUAAAUGCAGGACAAGUUGGAUAAAGUAUUAGCGACCAUUUCUCAUCUGGAGAAGCAGUCUCUGAUGGAAAUACUUAAACGUAUGAAUGGAAGCACACGCUUUCAAAGUAAAAUCUCUGAUGAGGAUUACUUGGCUUGUCUGCAUUUGAUCUGAAAAAUCCAUGUAGCUUUUGUGGCUGUUUUAGUGUGGGCGGCUGCGCACAAAAGUCUAGGGUCAAAAGGCUGGGAGAGAUGACAAUUAUUUGGAGAGUUUUCAACCGAUACAUUGUCAAAAUCAUCCCAUUUCUCCUCUUUGAAUAGUUCCAUUUUCUCUCUUUGACUCUGGAAUGGAGAAGAAUCUUUGUCUCUUUCUUUUGUUAGUUUACCCUGAUAAGGUAGAUAAAAUCUUGCAGCUGCUGUUGAUUUCUUCAGAGAGAGAGAGAGAGAGAUAAAAAGAAGAUUUCUUAAGAGCAUCUUCAACAGAUGUACAAAAUUAGAACCCCAAAAAUCCCAGACAAACGCGAGAGAUCAUCUUCGAUUCUUGUACUGGCCCAGAAAUGAUGUGUACGCGGGUGGCCCAACUUGUUCAGUCCACACGGCCUGACGGCCCGCGUGCGAGAAUAGCCCAGCGGCGCAAGGGAGCCUGGGAUAACGGCCUAGUACGCGGGGCGGGGGAUGUUCCUUGAUGGGCCUUCGCAGCUUCUCAUCUCGGCCUAUGGCCCACCGAGCAUCUAAGGCCGAAAGCCGCCACAGCUCACAGGUGUGCAAUGGGCCCGGCACUGCGCUUCUGCACGAUCAGAUCUGCAAACCGUAGGUAAAGUCGCAUCGUCAGGGUCAAGCUAUGGGAUAAGUGCCGAUUCGGGUGGCUUCCAUUUUUACGAUUCUCACAAAUAAAUACUCCGUACAGUAUCUUGCCCUAUCUCUAUGCACUGCUGCUAAAUCUGACGUACUGCUACUACAUAGGAAGAAGUCACAUCCAGCUACAUGAAUCUGGAUAAAAGGUAGUACAGAUUUAUUGUCUUAGAAAAAAUCACAUCCCCAGCUACAUGAAUCUGGAUAAAAGGGUAGUACAGAUUCAUUGUUUUAGAAGAAAUCAUAUCCCCUCCACCAUUUUUUUUUGGGACGAAUGAAGUACUUGUCACAAGCAUAAUAAAUUUUAUAUAUCUGGAUAAGUUUUUUUAAGCUAUUUCCCUUGUUUUAAAAUGUAGAUUCAUUAUAUUAUAAAAUAUCGUAUCAUAAUAACAUUUUAAAACAGGGGUAAUAUAUAAUUUGACAUUAAUAGUACUCUUACGUAUGAAAAAACUUGUCUAAAUAUCUCUAAUUUUAUUUUGAAACAAGCCUUACUUGUGUGGACGGAGAUACUCCCUCCGUUUCGAAAUGUUUGACACUUGAUUUUUAGCACAUGUUUAACCGUUCGUCUUAUUUAAAAACUUUUGUGAGAUAUAUAAAAUUAUAUGCCUACAUAAAAAUAUAUUUAACAAUGAAUCAAAUGAUAUAAAAAUAAUUAAUAAUUACUUAGACGAAUGGUCAAAUAUGUGAUAAAAAGUCAACGACGUCAAACAUUUCGAAACAGAGGGAGUAGUACAAAGCGAGCUCAUCAGUGUUCACUCCAACCGUUUUAGGUUGUGUUUAGUUUAGCACAAAGUUUAAAUUUUGAUUGAAAUUAGAGAUGAUGUAACUCGCGAGCUCAUCAGUGUUCACUCCAACCGUUUUAGGUUGUGUUUAGUUCAGCACAAAGUUUAAAUUUUAAUUAAAAUUAUAGAUGAUGUAACUGAAAAGUUAUGUGUGUAUGACAGGUUGAUGCGAUGGAAAAAGACUGAAAUUUAAAUCCAAACUUUAGAUCUAAACACAGCAAUUAGCAAAUAAGCCAAAACGAACCAACCCAAAAAUGAGAUGUGCAUAGCCAAACACCAUUUACUAUCAUGGGCAAUUAUAAGCAACCCAAAAAAGAGACCGAACUGGAUUGAGUGAAGCAAACUCUUUCUUAUUCAUCAUUCAUAGUAUGUACCAUGACAUGCCACCCGCGACCGAGAAUAUACAUUGCCGAGAGGCGAGAGCCCAAAGAUGGACAUAAAAAUUUAAAAAGAAGAGGUGAAAAUUAAGUAAAAACACCGCAGAAAAAUAGAUUGGCGCGCUUCCACGCUAGCUGCAAAUAUCGCUCUAAUAAUCUGCAUGCUUCGGACGGAGAAGCACAUCGGAUAUAGAGAGGAGGAAGAAGAGGAGGAAGAGAUGAGCGGCGGCGGCAAACGGCGAGGAGGCCGGCGGCGAGGGCAGGCGCACGGCGACGAGACGACGGCGUACGGAGCGCCAUCAUCAGGCGGCAGCGUCGUCCCAGGUGGCGGCCCAGUUGGUGGCGCUGCCGACGCGGGGCAUGGAGUUGAUCUUGGUGAAGGUGUCGACCUUGAAGGUGGCGCCGCACAUGACGCCCUCGCUGUCCACCCGCGGCAUCGCCUUCAGCCGGUUCAUCGGGUGCUCGAAGCUCUUGAGCCCCCCCUCGCUGUGGAACAUGCACCCCACCGGGAACGGCGCGUACGACUUGCCGCACCCUCCCUUCACGAUCUCCCUCUCGUCGCAGAUCACCACCGACCCAUCCGCCGCGAUCCCCCAAUACAACGGCACCUCCCCAUCCGUACUCUGCAUCGCGCAAAGCGAAUGAACGUCAAUAUAUAAGAAAAAGAAAAGCAGAACAAUCAGAAACUGAAGCUUAGGAACUACUACGGCGGCUAAACACAACUCCUAACAGCGGGAAGGGGACAGGGCCACGCUACACUCACAGGAAGUUCAAUUUGAAGCACAAAUUCAUCAAUUCGAUUCAGAAAACCAGUCUAGUAGUGGUUUAAAUUACCAGGGCGGCGAAGACGGCGCCGGACUUGUUGUCGAAGACGACGAAGGCGAAGGAGCCGGAGAGAUCCUUGACGACCUGGUCGGCGGGGUAGGGGCCGCGGUCGCGGAGGGUGCGGUAGGCCUCGAUGACGAGCAGCGCCUCGUUGGUGGAGCGGCUGCACAGCCCGUACUGCCGGAUCAGGCUGCUCAGGUUGUCCAGCCUCCCCAUGAACACGCAGUAGAUGUCAUCCAGCCCACAGAACAUCCUGUGUACACACCCAUUUACCAUUAUUAUCGAUCCCCUACGUUUUAAUCACCUUAAUUAUUCGGAUUCAUUGCCUCAUCGAUUAAAUUGAUUUAAUUUACCUCUCGUAGCCAGAGAGGCCAUUGCGGGCGUGGCCGGCGACGCAGGCGAGGGCGGCGCCGCCGCCGAAGGAGGUGGAGAAGGCCUCGAUGGGGUGGAGGGCGUGGAAGUCCCUGAGGAUCUCGUCGGGGUUCUUGGGCUUCGCCGCGCUGCUCCGCGGGCUGUUCAGCUCCGCCGGCGCGUGCGCCACCUGCUUCUGGAAUAUGGCCAACAUUUUCUUCUUCCUCUUGCU
rnacentral:lncRNA from 1 species